CCUACGGGAGGCAGCAGUAGGGAAUUUUCGUCAAUGGGCGCAAGCCUGAACGAGCGAUGCCGCGUGAGUGAAGAAGGCCUUCGGGUCGUAAAGCUCUGUUGCGGGGGAAAAAAGGCAGCAUCAGGAAAUGGGUGCUGACUGAUGGUGCCCCGCCAGAAAGUCAUGGCUAACUACGUGCCAGCAGCCGCGGUAAUACGUAGGUGGCGAGCGUUAUCCGGAAUGAUUGGGCGUAAAGGGUGCGCAGGCGGGCGUUCAAGUCAGCUGUAAAAUCGCGCGGCUCAACCGCGCCCCGCAGUUGAAACUGGACGCCUUGAGUUCACAACAGGCAGGCGGAAUUCGUGGUGUAGCGGUGAAAUGCAUAGAUAUCACGAGGAACCCCGAUUGCGAAGGCAGCCUGCCGGGGUGCGACUGACGCUGAGGCUCGAAGGUGCGGGUAUCAAACAGGAUUAGAUACCCUUGUAGUC
rnacentral:rRNA from 1 species